rnacentral:rRNA from 1 species
GACGUAGGGCGCGAGCGUUGUCCGGAUUUAUUGGGCGUAAAGAGCUCGUAGGCGGUUUGUCGCGUCGGCUGUGAAAACCCGGGGCUCAACCCCGGGCCUGCAGUCGAUACGGGCAAACUAGAGUGCGGUAGGGGAGACUGGAAUUCCUGGUGUAGCGGUGAAAUGCGCAGAUAUCAGGAGGAACACCGGUGGCGAAGGCGGGUCUCUGGGCCGUAACUGACGCUGAGGAGCGAAGCGUGGGGAGCGAACAGG